AGCGAACGCUGGCGGCAGGCCUAACACAUGCAAGUCGAACGAACCCUUCGGGGUUAGUGGCGGACGGGUGAGUAACACGUGGGAACGUGCCUUUAGGUUCGGAAUAACUCAGGGAAACUUGUGCUAAUACCGAAUGUGCCCUUCGGGGGAAAGAUUUAUCGCCUUUAGAGCGGCCCGCGUCUGAUUAGCUAGUUGGUGAGGUAAUGGCUCACCAAGGCUACGAUCAGUAGAUGGUCUGAGAGGAUGACCAGCCACAUUGGGACUGAGACCCGGCGCAAACUCCUACGGGAGGCAGCAGUGGGGAAUCUUGCGCAAUGGGCGAAAGCCUGACGCAGCCAUGCCGCGUGGAUGAUGAAGGUCUUAGGAUUGUAAAAUCCUUUCACCGGUGAAGAUAAUGACUGUAGCCGGAGAAGAAGCCCCGGCUAACUUCGUGCCAGCCGCCGCCGUAACAC
rnacentral:rRNA from 1 species